rnacentral:sRNA from 1 species
GUUGUAUGACUUAGGA